rnacentral:rRNA from 1 species
UGGUAAUGCCGGAUGUUCCACAUGAUCGCAUGUGAUUGUGGGAAAGAUUCUAUCGGCGUGGGAUGGGGUCGCGUCCUAUCAGCUUGUUGGUGAGGUAACGGCUCACCAAGGCUUCGACGGGUAGCCGGCCUAAGAGGGCGACCGGCCACAUUGGGACUGAGAUACGGCCCAGACUCCUACGGGAGGCAGCAGUGGGGAAUAUUGCACAAUGGGCGCAAGCCUGAUGCAGCGACGCCGCGUGAGGGAUGGAGGCCUUCGGGUUGUAAACCUCUUUUGUUUGGGAGCAAGCCUUCGGGUGAGUGUACCUUUCGAAUAAGCGCCGGCUAACUACGUGCCAGCAGCCGCGGUAAUACGUAGGGCGCAAGCGUUAUCCGGAUUUAUUGGGCGUAAAGGGCUCGUAGGCGGCUCGUCGCGUCCGGUGUGAAAGUCCAUCGCUUAACGGUGGAUCUGCGCCGGGUACGGGCGGGCUGGAGUGCGGUAGGGGAGACUGGAAUUCCCGGUGUAACGGUGGAAUGUGUAGAUAUC